UACGUAGGGUGCGAGCGUUGUCCGGAAUUAUUGGGCGUAAAGAGCUUGUAGGCGGUCUGUCGCGUCUGCUGUGAAAAUCCGGGGCUCAACCCCGGACUUGCAGUAGGUACGGGCAGACUAGAGUGUGGUAGGGGAGACUGGAAUUCCUGGUGUAGCGGUGAAAUGCGCAGAUAUCAGGAGGAACACCGAUGGCGAAGGCAGGUCUCUGGGCCACUACUGACGCUGAGAAGCGAAAGCAUGGGGAGCGAACAGG
rnacentral:rRNA from 1 species